CCUGACGUCAUCCAACAGGAAGCGUCAGCCCUGAGGGAGGAGACAGAAGCCUGGGCCAGGCCACACGAGUCCCUGGCCCGGGAGGAGGCCCUCACUGCACUUGGGAAGCUCCUGUACCUCUUAGAUGGGAUGCUGGAUGGGCAGGUGAACAGUGGUAUAGCAGCCACUCCAGCCUCUGCUGCAGCAGCCACCCUGGAUGUGGCUGUUCGGAGAGGCCUGUCCCACGGAGCCCAGAGGCUGCUGUGCGUGGCCCUGGGACAGCUGGACCGGCCUCCAGACCUCGCCCAUGACGGGUAGGACUCUCAGGUCUUGCAUAUGUCCAGCCAUGCAUGUGGACGGGCAUGUGAUGGAUGUGUGCCUGGGCCCCAGGGUGACGGGUGGGUGGGGCACUGUGUGGUACUGAAUGGAGCCUUCCUCAGCUGGGGUGUGGGAGAAGGGCUGCUGGAGGCAAUGCCAGGUGGGUCUCCAGCACAGAGGCUCAGCAGUCACAGCACCCCUGCCCAUGGCCCCGUGAAUGCUCUUCCACCUCUGCCUCUGCGGUUUGGGCUCAGGAGGGUGAGCAGGGCCUUACACUUAUGCACCUGUGUCCUGGAAGGAGGAGUCUGUGGCUGAACAUCAGGGGCAAGGAGGCGGCUGCCCUAUCCAUGUUCCAUGUCUCCACGCCACUGCCAGUGAUGACCGGUGGUUUCCUGAGCUGCGUCUUGGGCUUGGUGCUGCCCCUGGCCUAUGGCUUCCAGCCUGACCUGGUGCUGGUGGCGCUGGGGCCUGGCCAUGGCCUGCAGGGCCCCCACGCUGCACUCCUGGCUGCAAUGCUUCGGGGGCUGGCAGGGGGCCGAGUCCUGGCCCUCCUGGAGGAGGUAAGCUGGGCAGGGUGGAGGUGCUGCGGGGUGGGACGAGGGGAAGGACCAGUGACUGCUUCCGUCUUCGCCCCUGGUCCAGGACUCCACACCCCAGCUAGCAGGGAUCCUGGCCCGGG
rnacentral:sRNA from 1 species